rnacentral:rRNA from 1 species
GGGGGGGGGGGGGGGGGGGGCGGGUGCAGGGAGGGCGGGCGAGCAGACGAGGAGCUGGCGCCGCUGACGUAAGCGGCGGACGGGGGAGGAAGACGGGGCUAGCCUAGCUCUAAGACGGGGAUAACUGCGGGAAACCGGAGCUAAUACCGGACCAUAUAUUGGACCGCACGGUUCAAUAGUGAAAGCCGGUUUUGCUGUCACGUAUAGAUGGAUCCGCGCCGCAUUAUCUACUUGGUAAGGUAACGGCUUACCAAGGCAACGAUGCGUAGCCUUCCUGAGAGUGUGGUCUGCCACACUAGAUCUGAGACCCGGUCCAGCCUCCUCCGGGAGGCAGCAAUAGGGAAUAUUCCGCAAUGGUCGAAAGCCUGCCGGAGCAGCGCCGCGUGAGUGAUGAAGCUCUUCGGACCUUAAACCUCUGUUAUUAGGGAAGGCCAAAUGUGUAGGUAUCUAUGCACGUCUUGACGGUACCUAAUCAGAAAGCCACGGCUAACUACGUG